rnacentral:rRNA from 1 species
ACUGAACGCUGGCGGCAGGCCUAACACAUGCAAGUCGAGCGGAUGAAGAGAGCUUGCUCUCUGAUUUAGCGGCGGACGGGUGAGUAAUGCCUAGGAAUCUGCCUGGUAGUGGGGGAUAACGUCCGGAAACGGGCGCUAAUACCGCAUACGUCCUACGGGAGAAAGCAGGGGACCUUCGGGCCUUGCGCUAUCAGAUGAGCCUAGGUCGGAUUAGCUAGUUAGUGAGGUAAUGGCUCACCAAGGCGACGAUCCGUAACUGGUCUGAGAGGAUGAUCAGUCACACUGGAACUGAGACACGGUCCAGACUCCUACGGGAGGCAGCAGUGGGGAAUAUUGGACAAUGGGCGAAAGCCUGAUUCAGCCAUGCCGCGUGUGUGAAGAAGGUCUUCGGAUUGUAAAGCACCUUAAGUUGGGAGGAAGGGCAGUAAGUUAAUACCUUGCUGUUUUGACGUUACCGACAGAAUAAGCACCGGCUAACUUCGUGCCAGCCGCCGCAGUAAAAC